rnacentral:lncRNA from 1 species
CUCGGGGCUCCAAGGCCCUCUCCUUUUCCAGGCAGGGACCUGCCCCCAGCUCCUGCUCCAGAGGCAGGUCCCGGCCGGAAAGGCCCGCUCGGGGAAACAGGGCGCGGUCCCAACUGCACAGAGGCUCCAACGCCGUCCUCCUCCCCGCCCCCUUUCCGCUGCAUCCCCCGCCCGUCGGUGUAGCAGUGUACACAGUCGCAAACUGACCCCACCCAGGAUCCAAAACAGGAUUCAAAAAAACGUCUUUGCGUUUUCUACCAGCUCCCUAUCCUCAAACAAGGGGAGGGGAAGAAGCCGGUGAGAAAAACCUCUCUUUCCGCCGCCCUGCGAGUUUCUGCAGCCUUGCUCCGAGGCCGAGAACAAUCGUGUGGAUCAGGGACACGCCUGUCCCUUCCUUUCCAGAGACUUCAGUAACCUUGAGGCACCAGGUACUGAGGGAGAGGCAGUUUGCGGUUGUGUGCUCGGCCCUUUUCUCACUUCCCCAGACUUUUUUCCUUUUAGCUCAGACUUUGGCACCAGACUUUUUCCUUUUAGCUCAGACUUUGGCUGGGGGGUGCCGGGAAAAGGGAAGAGAACAGGGGGAAAAAGUGAAGCUCUGGCAGGGCUGGGCCUCAACACAGCUGAAAAGCCAGUGAAGGUUGUCCUUUUCCAGGCUCUCCGUGUUGCCCACUCUUCUUCCUCCUCAAAUCCUCAGGCCAUUCCAGUUGCCUAAAACCAUUCUUCAGCUGGGCCAUAAAGCCCAUGCCCAAGCAUGUGUGAAUCACAGACAGCUGUUUAAGGAGUUUAUCCUCCUAGGAAUUUUGGCAUUGGAACAGGGACCAGUACCUAAGAAAUGAAGGUCUAUCCAUGGGCUUUCAGGAUUUACCAGUCAGCCAGAAGCAGAGCCUUCCUGGUAACCUUGGAAGCCUUCCUGCUCUACGUGGGAGUCAAGCCCGCCUUGUCCAGUAGCUGUUGCCAAACCCAAUUGUGUUUGUAAGUCUUAAGAGAAUCCAGGAGAGUUUGUGGUUGGGAUUUCCAAAGUGAGAUCAUAUGGUAUAUUUCUAGAAGCAAUGAGAGGUAACAAAAAAGCUUGGGGACUAGGAGUCAGUCACUCUUUUAGAUACUAAGAAUGCAGAGAUGAAUGAAACCAUUAUUCUUCUCUCUAAGGAUUCCAUCUAAUGCAGAGACAGAAAUCAUCAAAGGGUGAUGGCUAACGACCUGUUUCCUAACCUGAAGUAAAGCCAGAUCCAUCCCACC